GAGCGGAGCUGCGCGGGAGCGGGCCCGGCGGGCUCUGGGCCUGUGCGUGCAGCGAGCCUGUGUGAGCAGCCCCUGCCUUUCCCCCCGCUCCUCUGCUSCGGCCUUGCCUUUGGAUUGUGCUUCCAGUGAUGACUCUUUAACCCCCACUCUCUCCACAGGCAUCCAGCUCUUCCCGUUAAACCGAGCGUUUGGCGUGAUGUAGGGUGCAUUAGGGCUAAGGAAGCCAGCACCYAUAAGAAGAGACAGCCCUAACAUCAUAUGAAAGUGCCUCUGCUGGUGAUAUUUGAGUCAAAUGGGCACCCUCUGCAUGGACAGGUCUUCCAUCUAUUGUGUGAACCCUCCAGCCCAGCCAUGAAAGCCAAGUGGAAAACACAGUACCAGCUACUUCCAGAUGGUUUUCCAGAACAAGCACAGAUCUGGUAUGGACAAAAGUGCCUCUACUGCAUAAACCAGGUUUCCUCAUGCAUAGUUUUGUGGAAUUUAAGGAAAUUGAA